UACGUAGGGUGCAAGCGUUGUCCGGAAUUAUUGGGCGUAAAGAGCUCGUAGGCGGUUUGUUGCGUCGGCUGUGAAAUCCCGAGGCUCAACCUCGGGUCUGCAGUCGAUACGAGCAAACUAGAGUGUUGCAGGGGAGACUGGGAAUUCCUGGUGUAGCGGUGAAAUGCGCAGAUAUCAGGAGGAACACCGGUGGCGAAGGCGGGUCUCUGGGCAACAACUGACGCUGGAGGAAGCGAAAGCGUGGGGAGCGAACAGG
rnacentral:rRNA from 1 species